GAUGAACGCUAGCGGCAGGCCUAACGCAUGCAAGUCGAGGGGCAGCACAGAAACAGCAAUGUUUUGGUGGCGACCGGCGGACGGGUGCGUAACGCGUAUGCAACCUACCUUUAACAGGGGGAUAACGGAGAGAAAUUUCCACUAAUACCCCAUAACAUCGAUCAAGGCAUCUUGAUUGGUUGAAAACUCCGGUGGUUAAAGAUGGGCAUGCGUUGUAUUAGGUAGUUGGUGAGGUAAUGGCUCACCAAGCCUACGAUACAUAGGGGGACUGAGAGGUUAGCCCCCACACUGGUACUGAGACACGGACCAGACUCCUACGGGAGGUAGCAGUGAGGAAUAUUGGUCAAUGGGGGCAACCCUGAACCAGCCAUGCCGCGUGCAGGAAGACGGCUCUAUGAGUUGUAAACUGCUUUUAAACAGGGAUAAAGCACAGUAUGUAUACUGUGUUGAAGGUACUGUAAGAAUAAGGAUCGGCUAACUCCGUGCCAGCCGCCGCGGUAA
rnacentral:rRNA from 1 species